rnacentral:rRNA from 1 species
GAUGAACGCUGGCGGCGUGCCUAAUACAUGCGAGUCGAGCGAACAGACGAGGAGCUUGCUCCUCUGACGUUAGCGGCGGACGGGUGAGUAACACGUGGAUAACCUACCUAUAAGACUGGGAUAACUUCGGGAAACCGGAGCUAAUACCGGAUAAUAUAUUGAACCGCAUGGUUCAAUAGUGAAAGACGGUUUUGCUGUCACUUAUAGAUGGAUCCGCGCCGCAUUAGCUAGUUGGUAAGGUAACGGCUUACCACGGCGACGAUGCGUAGCCGACCUGAGAGGGUGAUCGGCCACACUGGAACUGAGACACGGUCCAGACUCCUACGGGAGGCAGCAGUAGGGAAUCUGCCGCAAUGGGCGAAAGCCUGACGGAGCAACGCCGCGUGAGUGAUGAAGGUCUUCGGAUCGUAAAACUCUGUUAUUAGGGAAGAACAAAUGUGUAAGUAACUAUGCACGUCUUGACGGUACCUAAUCAGAAAGCCACGGCUAACUACGUG